AUUGAACGCUGGCGGCAGGCCUAACACAUGCAAGUCGAGCGGAUGACGGGAGCUUGCUCCUUGAUUCAGCGGCGGACGGGUGAGUAAUGCCUAGGAAUCUGCCUGGUAGUGGGGGACAACGUUUCGAAAGGAACGCUAAUACCGCAUACGUCCUACGGGAGAAAGCAGGGGACCUUCGGGCCUUGCGCUAUCAGAUGAGCCUAGGUCGGAUUAGCUAGUAGGUGAGGUAAUGGCUCACCUAGGCGACGAUCCGCAACUGGUCUGAGAGGAUGAUCAGUCACACUGGAACGGAGACACGGUCCAGACUCCUACGGGAGGCAGCAGUGGGGAAUAUUGGACAAUGGGCGAAAGCCUGAUCCAGCCAUGCCGCGUGUGUGAAGAAGGUCUUCGGAUUGUAAAGCACUUUAAGUUGGGAGGAAGGGUUGUAGAUUAAUACUCUGCAAUUUUGACGUUACCGACAGAAUAAGCACCGGCUAACUCUGUGCCAGCCGCCGCAGUAAUAC
rnacentral:rRNA from 1 species